CCCUGCUCCUCUCACCUGCUGUACCGCCGCCAGGCUCUGGAGCUGGGCGCCGCUGAGGUGCUGCUGCUGGAGCGCAGCCGUCUGCAGCAUGAGGUGCUGCUGCUGGGCCGCGUACAUCUGCUGCAGCCUGAGCUGCAUCCAUAAUGAGCUCUGGAAGGAGGAACUCUGUUGGACUUCAUUGGGAGCUGUGAGGCCCGGUUACUCAGAUGACCUCACUGGAGGAAACCGAUAUGAUGGAGGGGUAUACGGAAGAGCGUUCUUCUCACCCUUGAUAACCUCUGCAGACUCCUGCCCUCAGAACUGCAGAUGCCUCAGGUUCAGCCUCGGGGAGAGCUGGAACACAGAGCGGUGCACGGAUUCUGAGGCCAGCCUGGAGACACGCACUCUGAUCUCGCCUCGGGGCUGUGAGCAAGAUUACCUUUUAUCCCCAUUAGCUUGUGAAGUGAUUUGCCCACUAUUAAAUGCUACUAAGUAAGUGUAAUUACGCUUUAAACCCACCUCUGCCCCGCUAAGUCUUGGCAAGAGGAAGGAGAGGACUUGCCUCCAAUGGGGUUUUCACUAGAUUUGUAUUAACCAGGCAAAAUGAAGGGGACAAAGCUUGUUAUGAAUGUAAUACACACAGUCUCGUCCCGUUGUUGUGAAUUACGUGUUACUGGAUGUAGAACUAGAUAGGAGGAUAUGUACCAAAAUGUUAAUAAUAAUGGCUGCUUGGGUGGUCUGGUCACUGCUAAUGUUUAUUUUCUUGUUCGUGCUUUAUUUUCCAAAUUGUCUGUAUUUUUUAAAUUAUCUGGGCUGAGACAUCACAAUAUUCUCAGCAUAAAAGAGAAGUGAAAAAUGAAAACCUCAGGGAAAGGGUGCUCAUUCUCCAUCUGAACAAGUCCUGGUCAUUCAGAAGCUGGUGGUGUAGGUCUGUCCGCAUUGGCCCACAGCAUCCAGACACCUGCUGAACUGGGGCUUGGCCAUUCCUGGUGCCCUCAAUACAUAUUCCAACGGGUCCAGGGAAUAUUUGGUAUUUUACAGAGCUAGAAAGCAUACAAAGGUGGGAGGCAUCAGACUCCUAGGAUCAAUUCCAGCAGAGUACAACCCCUGACCCAGAUAGUGACCACAGAGUGUUCCUGGGGCAAGUCACUCAGUACAGUUCACUUCACUUAGUGCUGCUGGGAAGGUAGGUGGAAAAGAUGUGGUUUCUGUCUUCAAGGGCUUUGACGAUCUUGUAAGGAUGACAGACAUAGGUAUAAGGAACUAGUUCUGCCACAGAUGUACAAAGGGAACAGUUGGAGCCAAGCAGUGUAGGGCAGUGACUUUGGGGUUACCCAGACCUGGAUGGGACACACCUCUGCCAUCCACUGUCCACGUGACCUAGGACCGUGUGCUGUACCUCGCUGAGCCACUGUUUCCUCAUCUCUAAAAGGGAGAUGGCAGCCCUUGAGGUGGAGCUGUGGGGAACAGGCGGGGGGCCUGGGA